ensembl:lncRNA
GUUGUAAUCAAUGACUUGAUACAGUUUGGAGGUCUGAUUGACUUUUCAUGAUAUAAGUACUGAAGUCUGGGUUUGGAUGCCCCCUUUACUCCAGUUUAUACAGUGUGUUUGAUGAGCAAACAUCAAAUCACAUGUUGACAUGUGGUUUACCAGCAUUACAGCCACAAGAUAGAGGGGCGGGUAGAUGUGUCUGAACAAUAAUUGGUCAGUGAUGUAAAUAUAAAACAGUCCUCACUGAGACAGAGACACCAGAGACGAGCUCUCGCUGAGCCACCAUGAGGACCUUUUGUGUUGCUGUGAUCGUGUUGAGUCUCCUUUCAGUGGGUCAGCCUGCGCCCCUGACCUGUGAGACGCUGAUGAAGCCGCGGGACACUGAAGGCCCUGAUCUGACUGGGAGGUGGUUCUUACUAGCUCUGUCUGCAGAGCACUGUAUUACAACGACAGUGCUAGAUGUUCUUCUCAGGCCCAUUUUUGUAUUUGACAUUACCUCCAUGGAUGCUUCGAAUGUCUACAACAACAGCAUAAAAAUCACAAUAGACGGACACUGCUUAGAACAAUCUAAGAUGUUUUUCUAUAAGGACAACCAAAUGUUUGAAGUUGACAGUAACAAUACUGCACUGGGCAAUGCAUCUUUGUUUCUGUACAGUGGAUGUCCCGACUGCAUUGUUGUAAAGAGGAUGGAUAUGAUUAAAGCUCUUAUACUCAUCAGUAGGAGAAAGGUCGUCACUGCUGCAGAGCUGGUGGAGUUCGAGACGCAGGCCAGGUGUCUUGGAUGGUCCACACCGCAGGUCUUCAAAGCAGAACACGCUUCAGAAAACUGCAGGUCAUACCAUGACAUCCCUAGACAAGAAGAUGAAGCCAUCAUGCAGAGGAUCCAUCGCAAGGUGUCUGAAAAGGCAACAAGUAUGCGUGAAAAAAUAAUGAAAUGUUUCAUCGAAUUUUGGGUUUUUGUCUACAAUACCGUUUCUUAAAAGUAAAGUGUUUUAAGUGACUACAGUGUAGUUUUGUGCACACCUGGGUGUGUACAAGUCCAUUUGAAUAUUUCGUAUUUCUGCCAUGUUGAAUGUUCUGUGUGACUCUACACCAGCGGACCGAGUUUCGGGUCUUACUGUUGACACACAGCUGGUGUAGUGUUUGGCAUCCUCCCUCUAAAUUCACAGUCAGCUGUGUACACUCGUUUUUUUCUCAUUUUUUUUUCUUUUUACCUGAAAUGUGGUUUAUAGCUUUAUAAAACAAAAUCUAUGAUGUGAUGUACUGUGUGCCAGCUAGUCCACCCAAAGAGAAAGACUGAAGAGUCUGAAUCUGCUGGUUGGGAUGAGACUUGUCACCAUGGAAACAACAAAAGUGAUGGAAAAGCUUGUUGUAGUUGGGAGAAGAAGAGCUCGAUUUGGGGGCUGGCAGUGAAGGAAGCAGGAAGAUUGUGCAGUUGGAGCCAGCCCCUAGAGGCCGUAUGGAGGAACUGCAGGUUCAGAAUAGGCUGCCAUGGUGUUAAUCAAACACGCUUGUCCAUUCUUUGCAAACUGUUGUGCUUAACUUUAAAACUAUUCAGUUAACUUGGAAUUAUAUUGAGAAGGUCAAUCUCUCCUGCAUUAUGUCAGUGUGAGCAACCAAAAAACAUUGUAAUAAUGGCAUUAAAGCAACAUUACUAUCACUGUCAUUAUUGUUGUUGCAAUGUGUGAGUAUUAUUGUAUGAGCAUGAAUGUGCACGACACCUCCUUAUACACCACAAGUCUUUGUUCGGACCUCCUGCUCAGUGUCAUGCCUAAUUAGGGGGUGGGAUGGGGGGGGGGGGGGCUUGAUAGGUCAGCUGUUAUUGCAGGCACCAUAAAUUGAAUCUAACCUGGGCUCCUUUCCAGUCUAAAGAAAGAGGCAAUUCUAGGAUCUUCUGGGGCAUUGACUGAAUAAAAAUGUAGAGCACACUAACA